rnacentral:rRNA from 1 species
UACGGAAGGCAGCAGUGGGGAAUAUUGCACAAUGGGCGAAAGCCUGAUGCAGCUAUGCCGCGUGUAUGAAGAAGGCCUUAGGGUUGUAAAGUACUUUCAUCGGGGAGGAAAAACAAAACUAAUAAUUUUAUUUCUUGACGUUACCCGAAAAAGAAGCACCGGCUAACUCCGUGCCAGCAGCCGCGGUAAUACGGAGGGUGCUAGCGUUAAUCAGAAUUACUGGGCGUAAAGAGCACGUAGGUGGUUUUUUUAAGUCAGAUGUGAAAUCCCUGGGCUUAACCUAGGAACUGCAUUUUGAAACUGAAAUACUAGAGUAUCGUAGAGGGAGGUAGAAUUCUAGGUGUAGCGGUGAAAUGCGUAGAUAUCUGGAGGAAUACCUGUGGCGAAAGCGGCCUCCUAAACGAAUACUGACACUGAGGUGCGAAAGCGUGGGGAGCAAACGAGGAGUUAGAUACC